CUUCAACCAAAGGGAAGAAAAGGCUGGAACCUCUCGGGGGUACAGCCUUGCUGAAUUAUUCACCCUUGUCUUUUGCGUACUUCUUGUUUCCUUGGGGGGUUCGCCCACCGCUAGGACAAACAUAAACCUUUUGUAAUUGCAAUCCGCGUCAGUAACAAAUUAAUAAUUACAACUUUCAACAACGGAUCUCUUGGUUCUGGCAUCGAUGAAGAACGCAGCGAAAUGCGAUAAGUAGUGUGAAUUGCAGAAUUCAGUGAAUCAUCGAAUCUUUGAACGCACAUUGCGCCCUUUGGUAUUCCAAAGGGCAUGCCUGUUCGAGCGCCAUUUGUACCCUCAAGCUGUGGAUGGUGGUGGGCGUCUUGUCUCUAGCUUUGCUGGGUGCUCGCCUUAAAGUAUUUGGCUGCCGCCUACUGGGUUCGGAGCGCAACGCAAAGUCGCACUCUCUAUCAGAAAGGGCUAGAAACCUUUAAGCCCUUUUUUCCACUUUUGACCUCGCCCCCGUUCGGAUACCCGCAGAAUUCAACCUAUGAUUCACCUGGAGAA
rnacentral:rRNA from 1 species